GACGAACGCUGGCGGCGUGCUUAACACAUGCAAGUCGAACGGAAAGGCCCUGCUUUUGUGGGGUGCUCGAGUGGCGAACGGGUGAGUAACACGUGAGUAACCUGCCCUUGACUUUGGGAUAACUUCAGGAAACUGGGGCUAAUACCGGAUAGGAGCUCCUGCUGCAUGGUGGGGGUUGGAAAGUUUCGGCGGUUGGGGAUGGACUCGCGGCUUAUCAGCUUGUUGGUGGGGUAGUGGCUUACCAAGGCUUUGACGGGUAGCCGGCCUGAGAGGGUGACCGGCCACAUUGGGACUGAGAUACGGCCCAGACUCCUACGGGAGGCAGCAGUGGGGAAUAUUGCACAAUGGGCGGAAGCCUGAUGCAGCAACGCCGCGUGCGGGAUGACGGCCUUCGGGUUGUAAACCGCUUUCGCCUGUGUCGAAGCGUGAGUGACGGUAAUGGGUAAAGAAGUACCGGCUAACUACGUG
rnacentral:rRNA from 1 species